rnacentral:rRNA from 1 species
AGAUUGAACGCUGGCGGCAGGCCUAACACAUGCAAGUCGAGCGGCAGCACGGGUACUUGUACCUGGUGGCGAGCGGCGGACGGGUGAGUAAUGCCUAGGAAUCUGCCUGGUAGUGGGGGAUAACGCUCGGAAACGGACGCUAAUACCGCAUACGUCCUACGGGAGAAAGCAGGGGACCUUCGGGCCUUGCGCUAUCAGAUGAGCCUAGGUCGGAUUAGCUAGUUGGUGAGGUAAUGGCUCA